AAAAACACCGUGACGAAGAGAGUACAUGCACGACUGUCAUUACAGAGAAUUCCCGGAGGCUGAGAGGGAAGUGACAAGGUGAAUGGAAGAUGGCUUCUGAGAGGCGCACCGAGCCGGAAGGUUAGGCUGCGACAGGAUCCGCCUGUUAUAGCGGCAGAGUAUAGCAGUACUUGGCGAGGUUUCUUUCGUGAGAAAGAGACGAAGAGAAGUGGUAACACGGUAUCAUAUCCGUCUUCUUA
rnacentral:ncRNA from 1 species